AUGGUGUCCCGCAGCCACGCUCCAGAUCAACGCAGCCACGCAGCGCCGCCCCUGCGCGCGCCUCCCCGCGCCCAGCCACGGCCGCCCCAGCCGAAGCACGCACCAGCGCGGGAGGAACACCGGAGAUCCCAUCGAGACGAACAGCCCGCGCUGCCGAAGCUCAGACGGGAGGAGGAAAGUGCCCCGCCGCCGCCGGGCCGCGUGGGCUUUGCCCGGCGACCUCUGCCGGCGGCGGCGAGGGGAGGAGGGGGCGGUGGAGCUGCGCUGGCGGCGGCUGGGGUUCGCCCCCUGGCCGCCCGCGGGAGCGACCUGAGGAGCGGCGUUUUGACGGCCACAAAGAAAUUUCAUGACAUUGUCGGAAGCAGUAAUAAUACGACGCAGUUUCUAGAGAGAAAACUGUGUUGGGAUGGUAUAUUGUUGUCCUUACAAGCAUUUCACCAAGCGCAUCCCGUGCGAUGA
rnacentral:rRNA from 1 species